rnacentral:lncRNA from 1 species
UUAGCUUUACCUCACAGUUUGGAGAAUUUCAUCUUCUCUGUUAAUUAGUAAAUGGACAACAUUUUAAGACAUGCCAUUCCUCUGAAGUCAAAGUUCAAAUAGGACAUUCACAGUCAGGUUGCCCAAUUUUCAAGUGUUGAGUCAUGCCGGCUAAAGGGCAGGAGGGCACAGAGGUAGAAGACUUGGACUGGUACCUCAUGCAGGUCAUGUGAAUAGCGUUCACUCUAUUCUAGAACUGGAGAGCUCCUUAGGUCCCUCUGUCAGAAUUUCUAACCAAUGGGAAUGAGAAAAAUUCUAACUGGCCCUGUUAAUUCAGAGGGAGAAAAACGUUUGGAAUGUUAUUUGUGGAACUGUAACUGUGACCUCAACUCAGUACAACAUGCCCAGGCAGGAUAUCCUGCACCGGUGACCUCAACACUCUGCCAAGAAGAAAGCCAUCAUGACAUGCAACCCUUUGAACUUGGCCCAUUAGAACUGAUUAUGGGUGACCAUCUCCAAACAGCAAAAAGUUACAGAGGAAAUUUCAUCUGCAAGGAGGAGAUAAAAAGGUUUCCAAGCCACAGCAGACAGGUGAGGAGCUGA